rnacentral:misc_RNA from 1 species
UAUCUUUAUUCAAGAUUAACCUCUAAAUAAAACUCUUUACCACCUGAAGUAUGGAUUGAUAGAAACAGGGCAGAUGCUUUGCCUUUGCUCUGUUUUUGCACAAUCUAAAAAUCUAUGUUUCUUCAAUGAGAAAGCAAAGUUGGUCUAAGCAAAAGGUGAUUUGUUAUUAUCAUUUCAUAUUGAUUUUAAUCAUUUCUUUUAUUCAAGAAAAUAAUUUACGUGUCAAACAUGAUUCUAAUUAUGUGAUUUCCUGAUUAUAGUGGUUAGGUAAGGGUCUAUCUUUGCCUUCAUUCACCCAUGACUUAAUUGUGUUUCAGUUAACCUUUUAGUGUUAAUUUUAUAGCAUUGCCUUACCUACCAAAUAACUUAUGAUAACCAUAGCAAAUGUACUGGGCAACUAGCUUUUGACUUCCUUUUAUAUGAUGGGCUGAUGCUGUUUUGACAAGGCAAUCCACUACAUUCUGAAAGGAUGGAUCUCAUAAUGGGCUCCUUAUUUGUUUGUAUGAUAUUAUACAAAAUGCUAUAUAUAUUUAUAUAUGAUAGAAAUCCUAUUUUUAUUCAUUAACGGACUUCAUCUUUUUUUCUUCCCCUUCUUUUGGAUAUCUUUCUCGUACCUAAAGAUUUCACCCACAAUUCUGCCCUUUAUGUCAACUGCCCAGUGUCAAUGAUAUGGUAAGCACAGAUGAAAUGAAUCAUGUGAUGAGAGGGCCAAAAAUGUAGGUUAUUGAUUAAAACCCUUCCUGCUGAUACAUACAAGUUUUUGUUUUUCCGAUAACUGGACGUGAAGGUUUAGCGGCUCCAGUUGUAGUCUGUUAAUGUGUGUACAUAUUUAAAGCAUUUAGUUUCCACUUCUAAAUAUAGUGUAUCAGUUAAUUUGGUUUAAGCACGUGAACCUUUCUGCUACAGUGAACUGUACGCAUUCAAUUUCCUUUGCUCAGUGCUGUUAUAAUCAAACAAAAAAUUUCUUGAUCCAGGUUCCUCUCUAUGUGGCAACA